GACGAACGCUGGCGGCGUGCUUAACACAUGCAAGUCGAACGGUGAAGCGCCUUCCUUUUUGGUGGGUGUGGAUGAGUGGCGAACGGGUGAGUAACACGUGAGUAACCUGCCCCCUUCUUCUGGAUAACCGCAUGAAAGUGUGGCUAAUACGGGAUAUUCUGGGUCUGUCGCAUGAUGGGUCUGGGAAAGAUAUUGUUUCGGUGGGGGAUGGGCUCGCGGCCUAUCAGCUUGUUGGUGGGGUGAUGGCCUACCAAGGCGGUGACGGGUAGCCGGCCUGAGAGGGUGGACGGUACCAGUGGGACUGAGACACGGCCCAGACUCCUACGGGAGGCAGCGGUGGGGAAUAUUGCACAAUGGGCGCAAGCCUGAUGCAGCGACGCCGCGUGAGGGAUGGAGGCCUUCGGGUUGUGAACCUCUUUCGCCAGUGAAGCAGGCCUGCCUCGUUUGUGGGUGGGUUGACGGUAGCUGGAUAAGAAGCGCCGGCUAACUACGUG
rnacentral:rRNA from 1 species